UGCAUCGGCCGGGAAUCGAACCUGGGCCGCCCACGUGGCAGGCGAGCAUUCUACCACUGAACCACCGAUGC
rnacentral:tRNA from 1 species